rnacentral:lncRNA from 1 species
ACAAAUCAUCAAGCUGUACUUUCUGUUCUCCCAUUACUCCUAAUUUUACCCAGAUGUGAGACACUGAAGUCUAACCUAUAAUGUUGAGGCAUUUAAACUGACAUAUCUCAUCUUUCAAGGAGUUUCCUAACCAAAAAGCCUUAGGUGGGUUGUCUGACUUCUGCUGGGUGUCAGGUGCAAUUAAUGCAGUUUCCACACCAGGUUUUAUCUCCCAACUGGCAGAGGUUUGUGAUGAAGAGUUAUCUAAACCUGUGCUCUGCUGCUCAGACUGAGUUUCAUGCGACUUCACUGCAAAGCCGGAACUUGCACUGAUACUUCUUUUAAGCUCUACACUGACUACCCUUUCUUCACUGGAGCAGAUUCAUCCUCUCACCUCUGCACCCCACCUGUUGCUCUGGAGGUCUCUUCAACUUCUCCCUGUGUAGUCUGUGUGGCUUUUUCUGACUUGCCAUCAAACUGCUGCUCUAAAGAAGAGAUUGCUGGAAUCAUGGCAGUUCCCUGGUGCUUCUGCUGUCCUCUAUCCAGGUCCAACUGUUUUAGCAAGGAGUAAAGACUUGUUUGCCUAACAAAUAUGUAAUUCACACUUUCUAAAUACAUGUAAUCCACCUGGGAUUUGGCAUUCAGAUGUUUUUCAGGUUUUUAUGUGAGCAGAAUGAGGCCUUUCUCUGUGAUAUUGUGUUUUCCAAGGUUUCUGAAGCAUUUAAGUGAUUUGCUCAGUAUGUCACAUUUCAUAAGGAAAGAAUAUGUCUUUAUAGUUUCCCUUUAGCCACUGUCUGUAUCAGCUGUGAUGUGCUACACUGGUGAUGAGAGCAAUAUAUUUUGGAUGCACCUCAAACUUUUGCUCUCUUGGGCUAUCCUCUAUUCUUUUUCCCAUUCUGUUUUCACCACAUAACUUUGAAUGAUGAACCCUGUCUUAAUGGCAGACUAUGGUUCCUUUCUCUUAUUUCAGAAUAACAUAAGGUGUUAGAGUUUUUCUUUUGUACUUAAAGGUUGAAGUAAAAAUUCCCUUAUCAAAUAAAAUAGGUCCAGUAGCUGUACA